UAGGGAAUCUUCCGCAAUGGACGCAAGUCUGACGGAGCAACGCCGCGUGAGUGAAGAAGGAUUUCGGUUCGUAAAACUCUUUUGUUAGAGAAGAACAGCGCAUAGAGUAACUGUUAUGCGUGUGACGGUAUCUAACCAGAAAGCCACGGCUAACUACGUGCCAGCAGCCGCGGUAAUACGUAGGUGGCAAGCGUUGUCCGGAUUUAUUGGGCGUAAAGCGAGCGCAGGCGGUCAAUUAAGUCUGAUGUGAAAGCCCCCGGCUAAACCGGGGAGGGUCAUUGGAAACUGGUUGACUUGAGUGCAGAAGAGGAGAGUGGAAUUCCAUGUGUAGCGGUGAAAUGCGUAGAUAUAUGGAGGAACACCAGUGGCGAAGGCGACUCUCUGGUCUGUAACUGACGCUGAGGCUCGAAAGCGUGGGUAGCAAACAGG
rnacentral:rRNA from 1 species